rnacentral:rRNA from 1 species
UGCAAGUCGAGCGGACAGAAGGGAGCUGCUCCNGGAUGUAGCGGCGGACGGGUGAGUAACACGUGGGUACCUGCCUGUAAGACUGGGAUAACUCCGGGAAACCGGAGCUAAUACGGNAUAGUUCCUUGAACCGCAUGGUUCAAGGAUGAAAGACGGUUUCGGCUGUCACUUACAGAUGGACCCGCGGCGCAUAGCUAGUUGGUGAGGUAACGGCUCACCAAGGCGACGAUGCGUAGCCGACCUGAGAGGGUGAUCGGCCACACUGGGACUGAGACACGGCCCAGACUCCUACGGGAGGCAGCAGUAGGGAAUCUUCCGCAAUGGACGAAAGUCUGACGGAGCAACGCCGCGUGAGUGAUGAAGGUUUUCGGAUCGUAAAGCUCUGUUGUUAGGGAAGAACAAGUGCAAGAGUAACUGCUUGCACCUUGACGGUACCUAACCAGAAAGCCACGGCUAACUACGUGCCAGCAGCCGCGGUAAUACGUAGGUGGCAAGCGUUGUCCGGAAUUAUUGGGCGUAAAGGGCUCGCAGGCGGUUUCUUAAGUCUGAUGUGAAAGCCCCCGGCUCAACCGGGGAGGGUCAUUGGAAACUGGGAAACUUGAGUGCAGAAGAGGAGAGUGGAAUUCCACGUGUAGCGGUGAAAUGCGUAGAGAUGUGGAGGAACACCAGUGGCGAAGGCGACUCUCUGGUCUGUAACUGACGCUGAGGAGCGAAAGCGUGGGGAGCGAACAGGAUUAGAUACCCUGGUAGUCCACGCCGUAAACGAUGAGUGCUAAGUGUUAGGGGGUUUCCGCCCCUUAGUGCUGCAGCUAACGCAUUAAGCACUCCGCCUGGGGAGUACGGUCGCAAGACUGAAACUCAAAGGAAUUGACGGGGGCCCGCACAAGCGGUGGAGCAUGUGGUUUAAUUCGAAGCAACGCGAAGAACCUUACCAGGUCUUGACAUCCUCUGACAACCCUAGAGAUAGGGCUUUCCCUUCGGGGACAGAGUG